CCCUUAGAUGUUCUGGGCCGCACGCGCGCUACACUGACGAAUGCAACGAGCUUAUAACCUUGGCCGAAAGGUCUGGGUAAUCUCCAAAUUUCGUCGUGAUGGGGAUAGAUUAUUGCAAUUAUUAAUCUUCAGCGAGGAAUGCCUAGUAAGCGCAAGUCAUCAGCUUGCGUUGAUUACGUCCCUGCCCUUUGUACACACCGCCCGUCGCUCCUACCGAUUGAAUGGUCCGGUGAAGCGUUCGGACCGUGGCCUUUGGACGGUUCGCCGUCUGUUGGCUGCGGGAAGUUCGUUAAACCUUAUCAUUUAGAGGAAGGAGAANUCGUANCA
rnacentral:rRNA from 1 species